AUGACGCGAACCGUCGUCGUACGACCAUGACUAUGAUUCUUGCAGGAGAUGUUGGAGGCACGAAGUGCAAUCUUGGUUUGUUUCUCGAGGAAGGACCUGCGCUCCGUCCAAUCUUUCAGCUCCG
rnacentral:misc_RNA from 1 species